rnacentral:rRNA from 1 species
CAAUAGCAUAUAUUAACGUUGUUGCAGUUGAAAAGCUCGUAGUUGAACUUUUGGUAGGAGCGACCUGGCCUUGGGCGCAUGCCCUUGUUUGCCGUGUGUCGUAUCUGGCCACCCUUUUCUUCGUUUUUCGGAGGAAUCUUUUACUGUGAGUAAACUGGAGUGCUCAAAACAAGACGUUUGUUUGGUACAUUAAAGCAUGGAAUAAUAAGAUAGGACCUGGUUACUAUUUUGUUGGUUUGCAUAGCUAGGUAAUGAUUAACAGGGACAGUUGGGGGUAUUCGUAUUUAAUUGUCAGAGGUGAAAUUCUUGGAUUUAUGAAAGACGAACGACUGCGAAAGCAUUUACCAAGGAUGUUUUCAUUAA